rnacentral:rRNA from 1 species
GACGAACGCUGGCGGCGUGCUUAACACAUGCAAGUCGAACGGAAAGGCCCUGCUUUUGUGGGGUGCUCGAGUGGCGAACGGGUGAGUAACACGUGAGUAACCUGCCCUUGACUUUGGGAUAACUUCAGGAAACUGGGGCUAAUACCGGAUAGGAGCUCCUGCUGCAUGGUGGGGGUUGGAAAGUUUCGGCGGUUGGGGAUGGACUCGCGGCUUAUCAGCUUGUUGGUGGGGUAGUGGCUUACCAAGGCUUUGACGGGUAGCCGGCCUGAGAGGGUGACCGGGCAACAUGGGGAUGGAAAACGGCCCCGACCCCCGCGGGGGGCCGGCGGGGGGGAUUUUUCCAAAGGGGGCGGAGCCUGAAUGCAGCACGCCGGCGGGGGGGAGGAGGGCUUUGGGUUUGAAACCCUUUUCCCCCUGGGAGGAAGGGGGGGGACGGUAAAGGGAUAAAGAGGCCCGGGCAAACUCGGUC